GGGGAAUCAAAGCCUAAGAAAGCGACCAAGAUCAGUAAAAUUGUUUGUACGUAUAUAGGUAAAGGAUUAUUACUAAGUUUUACACAUACCUGCAUUUUACAGGGUUUAGCUAGGUCACACAUGCAAUGUUAUGGUCUACUAGUACCUUUAGGAACAGAACCUUCUCCUCCUACUCUUAAAAAUUUAAAUUUUAGGUGUAUAAGCUUAGGGUUGGGUUGAGUAGGGUUGGUGGAUGGAGAGAAUCAAAUUAGGAUUAGACAGUUGGUUUGUUUGUUUCAUAUGCCCUACAAUAUAUUACAUUACAUGUGGUUUCCAAGAUUUUUGUCUUGUAAGUUUUCAUACCUAUGUCCCACUACUCCAUAUAUCAACUUUAAUCUAUAUAUUCUUU
rnacentral:lncRNA from 1 species